rnacentral:lncRNA from 1 species
UAAAAAUUGGGUGUUAUCUUCUGUACGAUUAAUAUUGUAUGUAUGAUACAUAUAAAUCAAGAAAUGAAAAUACAUUUUGAUAUGUUCAUUGUUUUAUCAUCUUUUACAACUGUUACGUGUUCGUUACACUGUGUCCAUGUGUCCCUCCGCCCUUGUCGUUACAUAUACAUAAUACCUUUUUGUUUUGGUUUUGAUUAAUUUACGAAGAAAAGAUUUAUAAAAUCAAAUCAGGGGGAUUAAAUCCUAAAUCAAAAGACAAUGCUCACUAGCCUUAAUUUUAGAAAAUUUAUUCUCACUAAUAAAAUCAGAUUUUAAAAUUUCCAAGAGUCAACUUAAACAGCCGAAAGACAAUUAUACCCUUAAUGAAUUAAAUAAACUAUAAUAGACCAUUAUAAGAGUUUAUCAUAAAAUAAAGUUUCUAUGACUGGAUUCUCACGACCAAUGACGUUGACCGGGCUCCGGGGGUCGUUGAUCAGACUCCAAUGAAAGCUAGGGGAUCUAUUAGGGACAGUAUGGGUCUAUUGGGGGCAGUAUAAGGUCUGUCGAAAGAUAUAUUAGGGGCAGUAAGGGGUCUUUUAUAGGCAAUAUGCAUGAGGUCUGUCCGGGGUUUACUGGGGGUAGUAGGAGGGUCUACUGGGAGCAGUAGGAGGGUCUACUAGGAGCAGUAAAAGGGUCUACUGGGAGCAGUAAGAGGGUCUACUGAGGGCAGUAGGGGGUUUGUUGGGGGAUAUAUUGGGGGCAGUAAGGGGUCUUUUAGAGGCAAUAUGCAUGGGGUCUGUCCGGGGGUCUACUGGGGGUAGUAGGAGGGUCUACUGGGGGUAGUAAGAGGGUCUACUGAGGGCAAUAGGGGGUCUGUCGGGGGGUAUAUUAGGGGCAGUAGGGGGUCUUUUGGAGGCAAUAUGCAUGGGGUCUGUCCGGAAGUCUAUUAGGGGUAGUAGGAGGAUCUACUGGGGACAGUAAGAGGGUAUACUAGGGCAGUAGGAAGGUCUACUAGGAAGGUCUACUGGGGGCAGUAGGAUCUUGCAUUUUCUCCACCGCCAACCCCUCACCCACAACAACAACCAAACCUUCUCCAUCGCCAAAUCCUUCACCAUGACGGUUCCUACCACCGCUACCCACCUCACAAUUCACACUACCAAUUUUGGGCUAUUCAGGCACCAUGGCCUUUAAAAACUCCUUAUGCCAACCCAAACACAGCAUAGCAGCUUCUGCCGGUCUAGCUUGUUUAAGCUCCCAUAACUGUGAAUUCCGGUUUUUCCAAAUAGACCAUAUAAUCAUCCAUACUCGAUCAAACUGGUCCUUGGUUAAAGUAUUAACCAACUUAUUCAUGAACUCAAUAAAAGAAUUGCCAUUAGAUGCACCUAUAUUUAUGACAACUGAAGCCUAUACUUGCUUUGCCUAAUCACAAUUAGCAAAUAAAUGUAAAGAGUCCUCAUUCUGCAGAUGAGAGCACAUCAAGCAAUUCAUCUCGCCAUCAUAACCUUUACACCACAACCACAACCCUCAACCUAAGACGAAGUAGACCAAUACGACUCAAAAACCUCAUCAAAUACCCUUUGAAAUCGAACCCAAUCGAACACAAAACUCAAUCUAUCGGUGAUGUCUUGUGGUAGAUGUAGGCGGACUUGAUCGUUGGGGAAGGAACGUCGGAUACGUCACCGGCGACGAAGAGUAGGUCAGUGCGAUGUGGCGGAGCUUGGCAUGAUCUUCGGCUUCGGAGGAAGGGAGGGAGGUAGUGUUGGAGAGAUCGAUGCAGCGUUCUAGAGGAGGAAACUGAAUUUUCAGAUGACGAGCUUGAGAGGUGGUGGCUCAAUUGAGUCAAUGUUUGUCGGAGAUCGCCGGAAACUGUAUUCGGUAUGAGUUUCUCAGGGGAAAGGUUCUCGGUUUUCUUGAUUGAGGACUCGAUGUGGGAAAUCAGGUGUUGAUGCAGUUGUGAUUGGGAGGUGGAGUCGUUGUGGCUUUGCCGGAGCUCCAGCGGCAACGCUGAGCUUCACAGAUCUGAAGGCUUCGGGCUGAGAUGGAGGUGGAUGAUGUUGAUUCUGGCGACGUGAAGCAAAUGUGAGAGAGAGAGAGUGAGAUAUAUAUAUAUAUAUAUAUAUAUAUAUA